rnacentral:rRNA from 1 species
AACGAACGCUGGCGGCAGGCCUAACACAUGCAAGUCGAACGCCCUAGCAAUAGGGAGUGGCAGACGGGUGAGUAACGCGUGGGAACGUGCCCUUCAGUUCGGGAUAACCCAGGGAAACUUGGGCUAAUACCGGAUACGUGCGAGAGCAGAAAGAUUUAUCGCUGAAGGAUCGGCCCGCGUCCGAUUAGCUAGUUGGUGAGGUAAUGGCUCACCAAGGCGACGAUCGGUAGCUGGUCUGAGAGGAUGAUCAGCCACACUGGGACUGAGACACGGCCCAGACUCCUACGGGAGGCAGCAGUGGGGAAUAUUGGACAAUGGGCGCAAGCCUGAUCCAGCCAUGCCGCGUGAGUGAUGAAGGCCCUAGGGUUGUAAAGCUCUUUCGGCGGGGAAGAUAAUGACGGUACCCGCAGAAGAAGCCCCGGCCAACUUCGUGCCAGCAGCCGCGGUAACAC